AUAGGGUCAAGCGAACAAGUGCAUGUGGUGGAUGCCUUGGCGAUCACAGGCGAUGAAGGACGCGGUAGCCUGCGAAAAGCGACGGGGAGCUGGCAAACGAGCUUUGAUCCGUCGAUGUCCGAAUGGGGAAACCCGGCCCUUCUGGGUCAUCCUAGACUGAAUCCAUAGGUCUAGUGAAGCGAACGCGGUGAACUGAAACAUCUAAGUAACCGCAGGAAAAGAAAUCAACCGAGAUUCCCAAAGUAGUGGCGAGCGAAAUGGGAUCAGCCUGUACUCUUUAGCACGACCGUUAGCCGAACACUCUGGAAAGUGUGGCCAUAGCAGGUGAUAGCCCUGUAGGCGAAAGCGGAGGUGUGGAACUAGGUGUACGACAAGUAGGGCGGGACACGUGAAAUCCUGUCUGAAGAUGGGGGGACCAUCCUCCAAGGCUAAAUACUCGUGAUCGACCGAUAGUGAACCAGUACCGUGAGGGAAAGGCGAAAAGAACCCCGGGAGGGGAGUGAAAUAGAUCCUGAAACCGCAUGCCAUACAAACAGUCGGAGCCUCUGCGAAGGGGUGACGGCGUACCUUUUGUAUAAUGGGUCAGCGACUUACGUUCAGUAGCAAGCUUAACUGAUUAAGGCAGGCGUAGCGAAAGCGAGUCCGAAUAGGGCGUUCAGUUGCUGGGCGUAGACCCGAAACCAAGUGAUCUAUCCAUGGCCAGGUUGAAGGUGCGGUAACACGUACUGGAGGACCGAACCCACUAAUGUUGAAAAAUUAGGGGAUGAGCUGUGGAUAGGGGUGAAAGGCUAAACAAACUUGGAAAUAGCUGGUUCUCUCCGAAAACUAUUUAGGUAGUGCCUCGUGUAUCACCUUCGGGGGUAGAGCACUGUCAUGGUUGUGGGGUCCAUUGCGGAUUACUACGCCAUAGCAAACUCCGAAUACCGAAGAGUGCAAUCACGGGAGACAGACAU
rnacentral:rRNA from 1 species